UCCAUAAGCGAUCUAUCUAUAAGGAGCUAGUAGCAAUAAUAACUGAAAAAAGAUAAUAACAGUGACAACAGUUAUUUAAUACAAAGGAAACUAAAAGCAAGAAGCGAGUUCUAGAAGAAAAACUGCAAAAAUACCAGAUUAUAGAAAAUAAUCAAGAAACCAAGUGGUGUAAAUUCAAACCGAAAAGACAGAAAACCAUACAAACAGAGACUAUGAGUGAAAGACAGAAUGGUCAGAAGAACCCGUCAAUGAAUGGAAACCAGAAGAAUACCGGAAACCCAACAUCCCAAACAUUUCCAUGCUCAAGAUGUGGCAGACGUUUUUCCAGUUUGUAUGAUGUCAAAUCUAUCCAUAAGCGAACAGCAGUUAGUGAAAGUAACAACUGAGAAGAAGACAUAACAGUGACGACAGCUUUUUAUUAUAAAAAGAACUAGAAGAGGCGAGUUCAAAAAGAAAAACAGCACAAAUAACAGAUUGUAGCAAAUAAUCAAGAAACCUAGUGGUGUAAAUUCAAACCGAAAAAACAAAGAAUCAUACAAGCAAAGACUAUGAGUGGAAAACAGAAUGAUCAGAAGAAAAACCCAUGGAAUAGAAAUAACCCGAAGUAUACCGAAACAUCCAAAGUACAUAUAUGCUCAAAAUGUGGGAGACGUUUUACCAAUUUGCAAGAGUACAAUCAUCAUAUCCGUCAAACUAAACAUUAACUACAAAUCGUACUAAAUAAGCAAUGAACAUCUCGCAUCUUCUAAAUCAACCCUGAUGACCGAUAACGGCUUAUUUAAUUUUUUCUCGUACUUUUUCCUUAUUUGGUUUGUAAAGUCCAAUAUUAAUUUUAUAACAUAACGACAACGCAUUCAGUUGGACGAUAGCUUAAAACU